CAUCCGUCAUAAAAACGUCAUUUUCAUUUUUGUUAAACAAAUAAGUAUAUAUAUAAUUUGUUUAGUCUUUUGUUAAUGACAUUUUUUUAUUAAAACUGUUCGGAUCUGUUUUUAUUUUUUAUUCGAAAUAAUCGGCUAAUUAAAAUUUACACCAAUGGUUCCGAUCCAGCCUGUUUCAGACUUUCAGGAAAGUGCGCCGUAUCAUAUUUUGAUAUAAAGGCUAAGAAAAUUUAGUAGUACGUAGACUCUCGACACUUACCAUCUUACUCGAAAACCCUAAAAUUUUCAAAUUUGCUCUUUAUUUUUUCUAAGAAAAUAUGGUAAAUUUGAAACUACCCAGCAGUACAGGAACAACGCGCAUUCGGUAGUUUCGAAAUAACAAUAACAACAGUUCUAUACUACGUGGUUCCUGUCUUUUCUUUGAGCAGGCCAGCAUUUGGCCACUAACAUAUUUCCUUUUAGCUCCAGUUCAGGUUCGUAACUCGCAGAAAAAUAGGAAAAACCACCUUUUCUCCAUCUUGUAUUAUUCGAGUGGCGCUUAAAGUAUUCCGAGCUUACUUUCACUGUAAACGUAUUUAUAGUUUGUAGCCGGGUCACCAUAAUCUAACACUUAUUCUGUCCACCAGGUGUGAUUUGUUUUCCGUCUCUCAGAUGCCGUAAUGUCAGGUGACAGCGGUGAGUGUUUCCCACCAAAUCCAUCAAUUUGCCUGCCUCGGGAAAAUAAACGGAAUAGAAACCGAGGUAAAUUAUAUACUAGGUACCACUUAGCGCGUUUACUUCCAGUUUUUCUUCUACUAGCGUUUUUGAGAACUUUUUCCCGUUAUCGUCGACCGAAAACCUCCCUCCCACGCCUAGUAUUUCCGUUAGUUCCCGGACAGGUACGAGACGAUGGGAGACCAGAAAACCCGUAUGGUGGUUUAUCGAGUGGAUGUUGGCCCAAUCUUUUCCGUCUUAAAAACUCAUUGGAGGGAUAAUUUUUUAAUAACGGCUAAAAGAUGAUUAUCCCGCCGAUAUACGGACUUCCUGGGAAUGGGAUAAUAUUUUAAUUAAAAGCGCCACCCUACACUUUUCUCUAUUCUAAAAGGAAAAAUGUAGUAGAUAAAAGCUAGAGAAAAUACCAUUGCCCAACCACGGUUUAAAACCAAAAUACGCUGUGUACAUCUCAAAAAUAAAGUCGGCAAUUAUAAAAAACGUGGUAUGAUUCUCUGGUUAUCGUAUCGCGCCCUACUCGACGCACUUUCUACCUAUCUGGCAGAAUAUCGGAUCCUCUCGGCCUUCCGGGUUUCCCGGAAGAGGCGCUGAUUAUUUAUCCGGGUAGCGGUAGACCGAGGCCGAGGAAAACCAACCAUACCGGCCGGAAAUGACGGUCCACCAAAAAACAUAUACAGUAGUAUAUGCCAAUUCGGAUUAAUCGUAUCGCUUUCCUUUCGCUGAUCUCCGUGGUCGCCUGCGUUUAUAUAAACGCUCUAGUUUUCUAGGGUAAAGUCGGCGCACCCGCCACCCGAGUAAAUUCCAUAAUACGUUACCAUUCCGGGAACAUUCGGGCGGAAGGAGCUAGGCCGUCCCCUCUGGCCCGUCCGAUCCAACUCGGAUGGAAGACCCUUCUCGGGUAGCCGGUGAUGGGUAGGGUGGGUAGAAAGGGUAGGACCGGCCGGUCCUUACCGCCCCAUCUAGGUGGACGGAGGGACCUCCCGUAGGACGGAAAAUGUCUGUCUGUUUAUUUGGGCAGAAUUUUUUCCGCGCUGGAAAGGCCGUAAUACGGCUGAAGCGGCAGUGCCGGAAAUGGACGGGCCAUCUCCCCUUUACUUCCGGCGGAAAAUAAAACGGAAAAGCGUCGGCGUAAAAUGCCAUUUUUCCAUCUUCGAGACAAAUUUGGCAGUCUCUCCUUUCUUUCUUCGGUUUCCCCCAGCGGACGAAAUCUUUACUAAGGAAAAUUUUCCCGUAAUUCGGAAGGUCGGAUACCCACCAAACAUUUUCCGUCUUUCGAAAACCUAUUCGGUACGAUAAAUUGGUGGUUGUUAUAUCCUUUUUCGCCCCGCUUAGGCGCUUGGCGGUCUUCCUUUUAUACAAAAAACUGCUGUAUCCAUCGGUAGCCCGGGCUUUUCCGCAUCUAGCGCUAUCGGGCCGUCUCUCUCCGACCUAUUUCUUCUUCCGCCGCUACCGGUAUUACGGGAAGAUGGGUGCCCCGACGGUAGGCUAACACCAAAUUUUUUGAAGGCGCGUUAUCUAUUCUGCCGGGGUUAUUCCCCCUUUCGUUCGUCCUCCGACACGCGCACUCGAUUGGCUCUACUGUAUUUUACUUUUCCCGUUAUUCUACCUAUUAUCGAAUAAAACUUGCCGGUGAAUGGCCCGUGUUAUUUUCCUCUCUGGGUUUUGGGUGAACGUCGAGUUUUACUGGAACGAAAAUAAACAAUAAUUUAUAGAAAUACUUAUAUUUAAAAAUCAAUCGAGACUUUCCGCCUCCAUUUAGAAUCGAGUCUUAUCGAUUUUAUUCGUCUACAUUUCAUAUUUCGACAAUAUCGACUGGAUUCUUUCUCCGUCACGCCAGCCAUUUUUCAGCCAUCUCUAAAAACCUCGAUGGUUUUUAGGUCUCUAAUCACCCGACAUUUCCCACCACCGAGGCGGGAAAUGCCACGUGAUUAGAGACCAUUGGCGUAUAUGUCAUAUUUUUUCCGUUUUUUGACACGUACUUUCUGGUCGGGCCAUAUACAACGGUCGCCGUCCC
rnacentral:lncRNA from 1 species